CAUCAAUCUAAAUGAGAGUCUCACCUCAUUAAGGUCCAUUAAGGAUGAAUCCCACCUUUUCAGUGAGACCUGAGAUCUGGACCAAUCUAUUAAAAAUUGCACCCUGCCCCACUUCCCACCAUAAUCCUAUUCUCUAGACCCCUUUCCCUGCUGUGUAUCUUCCUGCAGAAUUUGUCACCUCCUAACAUGCUAUCUGCUUGUUUAUUAGGUUGUAUAUCUCACCUGAUUGGAAUGUAUGCUUCAAAAAGGCAGAGAUUUUAGUCUGCUCUGUUUAUUACUGCAUCACACAAGUCUAGAACAGGACCUGAAGUCUGAAAACUUCAAGUAUUUGAAGAACUAUUGCUUUGAUUUCCUGUUGCAGUUCAGCAGGUUAAGGAUCCAACAUUGUCUCUGUGAGGUUGCAGGUUUGCUCUCUGGCUUUGCUCAGUGGGUUAAGAACCUGGUGUUGCCAUAAGCUGCAGUAUAGAUCACAGAUGUGGCUCAGAUCCAGUGUUGCUAUGGCUGUGGCGUGGGCCUCGGCUGUAGCUCCAGUUCUACCCCUAGGCUUGGGAACUCCCAUAUGCCGCAGAUGCAGCCAUAAAAAGAAAAAAAAAAGAGAGACCCAUUAAAAUUAAAAAAAAAUUAAAUAUCGAUUGAGCGAUACAUUAACAUGUGUGCUCAGAUGUGACUAAUUAUACAAGGGCAGGUCUCUUCACUUGAUAAAUACCCAGGAUGGAGUUUUGAUUUAGUAAAUGUGACAAAACAACACCUGAAUAUAUUCUUGUAUUUCUCAUUUACAAAAACUGACUCUGCCUAUUGCUCUUAACUGCUGGAGUUUGGAAAUUAUAUUGUAUAUACUAGCAAAACAACCAAAUUAGAUACACCAAUUCAUUUACUGGACUUCAGCUUUUACAAGGAAUUCAUAACCCAGCACCACCCACCUACCCCCUUCAAUUAAAUUCACAUUGAGCUCACUACGUGUUUCUCUCAAGCCCUUCAAGGCUGCUAGUAAGUCAUGUUGCAGUUUUAUUAGCAUGUGACACUUCAGAGAGAGGCUUGUAUCAGAAAGUAAGUUACAUGGAGACAAAGUUUUCCAAUGCUAGUUGUCUUCUGAGAAUGAAUGCCAUAUAUUUAGGUGAGAGUUGCAUUAUGUUUUGCUAUGCAGUUGCCAACUUUAACCUCUAAGGGUCAUUCUCAGUGUCUUCUCCAUGUGGGAAAAAGAUUCUGUAGUCCUUUUACCUGGGGUGGCUCUCCAUCUACCAUGUGUGGACAGUAAGUUGCCAAGGAAAAAUCUGAGGAUGACUUGUUCAAUUACAUCGUUGGAUUGCUAACUCACGGGUGGAAAAAGUGGGGGCGUGUUAUUUAUCCUCUGACUUGGGUUUUUUGGAAUGCUCCUCUAACUUCACAAAAAAGUCUCCCAGUUUAUAUCAUUUUUGCCAGACACAUCUAGCAAAUGCUUGGCUAUAUUCAGCAAGCUUUAGACCAGAAAUAAGGGACACUUGUCACCUUGAAAUCCAAAUGACCUAAUACUGAUGUAUUAAUUAGUAUUAUUCUUUUAAAAAUUUUUCAUUGAAAUUUGUUAUUAAAAAGUACUUGAGCUUACAGCUCAAUGAGUUUUCGUGACAUGAAGACCCCUGUGCAACAACACCCAGAUCCAGAAACAGAACAUAGUCAGAAGCUCAGAAGCACCCCUUUGUGAUUCCUACCAAUCACUACCUAUCCCCCCAAGGGUAAUCACUAUCUUGACUAAUAAGUAACAGCAUGGAACAGCAAAGUUCUCUUUGCUUUUUUGUUCUUUACAUAAAUAGAACCAUACAGUAUGUAUUCUUUUGCAUUGAUUUCUUUCCUUUUUUUUAUGUUAGUGGUAUGUUUUUCACUGAAUUGAGUUAUAGAUCAUUCAUUCUCACUGCUAUGUGAAUAGACUGCAAUUUAUUUAUCAUUCCAACUCUUGAUGGGAAUUUGGACAGUUUCCAGUGUAAGGCUCUUAUAAUGAUGCCAUGAACAUUCUAGUGAAUAGACGUAUGGUGGAAAUAUGUAGGUAUUUCUGUUAGUUAUAUACCUAAGGGUGAAUUUCAGGUUCUGAUGCUUCUCCAUAGGUGGACUGUUCUUUGAAAGGGAAAACGUACCUAUGCAUCCAGGAGAAAAGAACAGUGUGAUGGCAGCAGAAUCCAGUGACAGCCAUAAACUGGAUGAUUUCAUAAGAGGACAAUAAAAUAGCUUCCCUGGUGCUGUCCACUUCUGCUGACAUGAAUAAUACAAUUAUGGGUCCCCAACAUCUUUCCUCAUCUCUUCCAUAGAAGGGCGGAGUGAGGGGAUAGAUAUUUCCAUCAUCACAAAACCCACAAAGAAUUUCACUCUCCAAAAUCAAAGUGUCUACAUGAUUAAGUUAGACCUCUGCUUCUUGUUCCAAGAAAUUAUCCUAUUUGUAUCUGCCAAGGAGGGCAGGGAACCAUAAUUAAAAUUCACACUUGCAUAUCACUCUCCAUCUGCAAAGUACUUCAUAGAUAUUAACUAAUUAAUCCUCCACCUUUCUCCUCCUGCUUUCCCAGCCUUCCUCCCCACCAUGAAGCAGGUGGCAUCUCCAUAUUAGGUCGCUGAUUUGCAAAAAGAUAAACACAAGAACAGGUUAUGCCAUAUCCCUGAUGAGGUCCAGGAGUGUAAAAUAAAUACUUUGCUGCCUGGGGCUUUUGUGAAAUAAAAUUACCACAUACUUUAAGCCUGGAGAUCUAAAUUGCAUAAAUAAAGCCUCUGAAGAAUUUUUGUCACAUAUGACAGGAAAGAUGGAUUUAUCAAUGUGUUUGUUUACUAAACUGUCACAGUGGUUGCUCAUGAAUACCAAUGAUGCCAUAGCUCCUGGGAAAGCUAUGUAAGAUCCCUGAG
rnacentral:lncRNA from 1 species